CUCUCGCUGCCCUCGCCGGGCCCAGCCGCCCGGAGGCCCCGCGGCCGGCGGUCGCGACGGGGGCGACGCGGCGACGGCGGCUCGGGGCGCGGCGCUUGCCCGCGCUAGCCAGCAGGCCGCGAUCGGGCGCCCGUGCCCAGCCUCGGCCUGGCCGCCGCCGCCGCCGCCGCGCCGCGCGUAGGGAGGAAGAGGAAAUGCCCGGCGCCGGCUCCCGCUGCUCACCGGCGCGGCCCGAGGGGCGCCCGCCCGCCACGCCGCCCCUAGCCCCGCCUGGGGCGGGCCUAGGCCGGGCUAUAGGGGCCAGGGCCUUGGGCUGCGCCGGCCGCGGGAGGUGGGUGCUUCUCGGCGGCGAGCUGCGACUCGGAGAGACUCCUGUCCGCAGGUGCAUGGCUUCCGGGCGGGCCUCGGGCAGCGAGCUCCAGCCCCACUGAGAGGCCGCGGACCGCCUGGGGACUUGUGUUUGUGUGUAUUUUAAGCCAACAGCCCAGAAAGGGAAGGCGACUGGCCCCCGGUCUUCGCCAGUGUUUCCCGGCCGGGUUACUGGUGGUCAGGAGGGAAGCCAGGAGGCUGCCGGGCUCCGAGGCCGAUUCCUUGCGAACCAUCUCCGUUAAAGACUCCGCGCCGGGCAGCCCGGGAGUCCGGCGGUACCCGCGCAAACUUUGUCCCAGCGCCUUGGCUCACCGUGAAUGCCCUGCCUUGAAAAUUUGGAGUUUUUUGUUUCCUGAAAGUGGUCUGCUUUUCCGAUUUUAUCUGUGUUUUCCAUUUUUACCUUCUUAUUGUCAAUUUGUUUUCAGGCAUUAUUAAUUCAACAAAUCUUUGUACUGCCCCUUACCACGUGUCGAUGGUUCCGUGGUUUGGUGGAAAUAGAUCGCGCUUUGAAGUCAAGACGGAUCGGCCAUGGAAUUUUGGCUCUGAGAUCCUCUGUGUAACCGUGGAUGAGCUACAAGGCCUGCUGAGCCUCCAUUUGUCUGGUUUUUGUGGUUGUUUUAAUUUAUCUUUUUCCAUUUGAAGUUGUGGGUUUUGCAUAAAAUUGAACUGUUACCAGGCUAAGUCAACUGAAAUUGGAAUCUGGGGUACUGCUUGCUUUGAGGUUACUCUUAUACUGUCCACCAUUUGCUGGCUGUGUGAUCUCUAAACCUCUCUGUGCCCUGACUUUUCUAUCUUUAAAAUGGACGUAACAACAGAGGUUUAAUAAUAAGAGGUUUGGAGGUUAAGUGCUAAAAUGCAUAUAAAAUACCUAGCACAGGACACAGUAAAAAGAUUGUUACCGUAUUUCAUUGAAUCUGGUUUUAAGACACUUCCUGAUUUCAAAGAAACUAAAAGCUCAUCUUGAAGUCCAGGAAGUAGGUUUUGGGUCACUCAGAACUCCCAAGGGACUGUAUUUGGUAGUAACUAGUGAUAAACAAACUGGAGUUUAAAUGAGGACUUUGUCACCAGAGAUAUUUUUAUUGCCUGUAUGGAGCUCCUGCACAAAUUUAUUCCAUUUCUCUUGUAGAAAGAGAUCCAACCUGGCCGUAAAUGGGGUGUGGUGGAGUAGAAAGAAGGGUAUUAAGUAAAGCUCUGUGUCGAUGCCUUUCUGAGCAUUUUACGGUGUUGGCAUAUGUGAUCCUGGGUAUCAGGAGCCUCAAUUUCUUGGGCUGUAAAAAUGGGGAGAACAACGCUGAUCCCAUUGUCUCCUGAUGGGUAAGUGAUGUCUAUAAAUAAAUUGUAUAGAGAUUAAGGCAUUAUCAGUGCUGUAGUCUGAUAAAAUGGUGGAGCAGAUAGGAAAGCCUACAACAGUACUGAACUGCAGGAGGGACUAAGAGUAAAUAUAGAGAUUUCAUUUGCUUGGUUUUGCAGAGGGUUAGCUAACUAAACAGAUAACUUUGUUUUCGACAGUUACUUCAUUUUUUUCAGUCAGGCAAGAGUAAGGAGAGAGUAACUAAACCAUUUUUUUUCCUCUUUAAAUAAGAGUAAGCAGAAAUAUUAUGGUUAUUUGGGGUUUUCAUGACCUUCAUUCACUUAGCGGUCAGGCUGUUCAAUUUAAAACAACCUUUUGCUUGCUGCCCUGCCAUAUGGGAAAUUUCAUUUCCAAAAAAAGGAUUAAUUUCCAGCCUGGGCGAAACCCUAUCUCUACGGAAAAUAUAAAAAUUAGCGGCCAGGAGCAGUGGCUCAUACCUGUAAUCCCAGCACUUUGGGAGGCCGAGGCAGGUGGAUCACGAGGUCAGGAGUUCAAGAUCAGCCUGGCCAAGAUGGUGAAACCCCAUCUCUACUAAAAAUACAAAAAUUAGCCUGAUGUGGUGGCACGCGCCUGUAAUCCCAGCUACUUGGGAGGCUGAGGCAGAGAACUGCUUGAACCUGGGAGCAUUCCAGCCUGGAUGACAGAGUGAGACUCCGUCUCAAAAAAAAAAAAAAAAUUAGCUGGGCGUGGUGGCAUCCGCCUUUGGUCCCAAAUACUCAGGAGGCUGAGGUGGGAGGAUUGCUUGAGCCCAGGAGGUCGAGUCUGCAGUGAGCCGUGAUUGUACCACCACAUCCUAGUCUGAGUGACAGUGUGACACUCUGUCUCAAAAAAGAAAAGAAGAUCAAGAAGGAUUAAUUUAAAUCCUUAUACCAAAUUGUCUACCAAAUGAUUUUUGUUCCACUCCAGAAAUGUUUUCCUCCAGUCCCUUCCUCUCUCUGCACCCUCCUGAGUUCUCCUUUCUUCUGUGGACAACUGUAACUAAUGCGUGUUUUUGCUAGGCUGACCCUUCUUUCAUACUAUGGCCCAAUUAUGUUUUUUCAAAUAAGCUAAUGGAUGUAAGCACUGGUGAAAUCUGAAUAAGGUCUGUAGUCUACUUGAUAGUAUUGUACCAAUGUCAGUUUCCUGGCUUUUGAUAUUUUUCCAUAGCUUUGUAAGAUGUUCCCAUUUGAGAAAGUGUACCUGGGCCCUCUUUGCAACUACCUAUGGGUAAAUGAUUAUUUCAAAGUAAAAAAUUAAAGUAUAGGGACAGAAAUUAGAUCAAUGGUUACUGGCAACUGGAGCUGGGGAAGGGUGGACUGAUCACACUUUUUGAGAUGAUGAGAAUAUUCUCUAACUUGAUUGUGGUAUUUACAUUACUGGAUGACUCUGUGAAUCUGUCAAAACUCAUAGAACUAUACACCUAAAAGGGUGGUUUUUUUUUUUUUUUUUUUUUUUAGAUGAAGUCUCGCUCUUGUCCCCCAGGCUGGAGUGCAAUGGUGUGAUCUCGGCUCAUUGCAACCUCCGCCUCCCGGAUUCAAGCGAUUCUCCUGCCUCAGCCUCCCAAGUAGCUGGGAUUACAGGUGCAUACCACCACGCCCGGCUAAUUUUUUGUAUUUUAAGUAGAGGCGGGGUUUCACCAUGUUGGCCAGGCUGGUCUCGAACUCCUGACCUCAAGUGAUCUACCCGCCUCGGCCACCCAAAGUGCUGGGAUUACAGGCGUGAGCCUCCGCACCCAGCCAAAGGGUGGUUUUUACUUCUAUAUAAAUUAUACUUCAGUAAACCUGAAUUAAGAUAAGGAAAGCAAGCUCUUGGCCGGGUGCAGUGGCUCACGCCUGUAACCCCAGCACUUUGGGAGGCGGAGAUGGGCGGAUCACGAGGUCAAGAGAUCGAGAGCAUCCUGGCUAAAUGGUGAAACCCUGUCUCUACUAAAAAUACAAAAAAAUUAGCCAGGCGUGGUGGUGGGCAUCUGUAGUCCCAGCUACUUGGGAGGCUGAGGCAGGAGAAUGGCGUGAACCCGGGAGGCGGAGCUUGCAGUGAGCCGAGAUCGCGUCCAGACCUGGGUGACAGAGCGAGACUCCCUCUCAAAAAAAAAAGAAAAGCAAGCUCUCAUCACCCCAGCCUCCUGGGGCUUGUAGGAUGAAAUGUAACUUUAAGGCCCAACGUGCUUUUCCAGCAUACGGACUCUUCCUGCCAGCGCACCCUGGGCUUCCUUGUACUGUAUUAAUUCCUGCCCCUGUGCCUUUGUGCAUACUCUUCCUUCUGCUUAGGUGGAGCAUAGGAAAGUAAAGUCAAAAUUCGGGUUCCCUGUACUCCUGUAAGCCUUCCCUGCCUCCCUUAGGCAAACCAGUAAUUUCCUAACUUCCUCCUCUGCUCACUCAUGUCGUGCUGUAAUUUUUAAUUCGUUUUCAUCUUUUUUCUCAACUAGACUCCUCAAAGGCAGCGACCACAUUGUUCUUUGUCUCUGGGAUCCAGUAGUGUUGAAUGAGUGAGUGAAUGAACAAAUUAUUUAUUUAUUUAUUUAUUUAUUUAUUUUUUGAGACAGAGCCUCUCUCUGUCGCACAGGCAGGAGUGCAGUGGUGCGAUCUCGGCUCACUGCAACCUCUGCCUCCCGGGUUCAAGUGAUUCUCCUGCCUCAGCCUCCUGAGUAGCUGGGACUACAGGAGGGUGCCAUGACGCCUGGCUAAUUUUUGUAUAUUUAGUAGAGACGGGGUUUCACCAUGUUGCCCAGGCUGGUCUCAAACUGCUGGCCUCAGGUGAUCCACCCACCUCAGCCUCCCAAAGUCCUGGGAUUACAGCCAUGAGCCACCAGGCCCGGCUGUGAAUGAUGUAGAGCUGAAAGAAAAACUAAUGGUUCUCAAAGUGCGGUCCAAGGUCCCCAAGAGGUGAGGUGAGGUGCUAGGAUUUUCAUGCUUUCAGCAAACAGCACAUCCUAACAGAUUGAAUGCAGAAGAAGAGAAUCCAGCUGUCUUCAUUUAAGCCAAACAUUAAAGAGAUCUGAAAAACAAUAUCGUACUUCCACAUUUUUUGGGAAAAAAUAAGUUAUUUUUCUUUAAAAUGUGUUCUGUUACUAGAUAGUGGGUUUAUUACUGUUUUUAAGUGACUACGUUUUUGUUUGUUUGUUUGUUUGUUUGAGACAGUCUCAUUCUGCCACCCAGGCUGGAGUACAAUGGCGCCAUCUCGGCUCACUGUAACCUCUGCCUCCUGGUUUCAAGCAAUUCUGCCUCAGCCUCCCAAGUAGCUGAGAUUACAGGCCCCCGCCACCACGCCUGGCUAAGUUUUUUGCAUUUUUAGGAGAGAUGGGGUUUUGCUGUGUUAGCCAGGCUGAUCUCAAACUCCUGACCCGCCUUUGCUUCCCAGAGUGCCAGGAUUACAGGCGUGAGCCACCACGCCCAGCCGACUAUGUAUUUUAAAAAUAUUUUCUCAGUUUUCUAAUAUGAAAAAUAUUGACAGAUAUAAUACUUUUUUUUAAAGUUCUUAGGGCUGGGCACAGUAGCUCAUGCCUGUAAUCCCAGCACUUUGGGAGGCCAAGGCGGGCAGAUCACGUGCAGGAGUUCAAGACCAGCCUGAUCAACAUGGUGUAUCCCCAUCUCUACAAAAUAUGCAAAAAAUAAUUAGCCGGGUGUGGUGGCACACACCUGUAAUCCCCGCUACUCAGGAGACAGGAGAAUUGCUUGAACCUGGAAGGCGGUUCGCUGGAAGGCAGUGAGCCGAGGUCGCACCACUGCACUCCAGUCUGGGCAACAGAGCGAGACUCUGUCUCAAAGAAAAAAAAAGGUUCUUUGGCGUCUUCGACAAUUUUUAAGAAUGUAAAAAGAUUCUGAGACCAAAAUAUUUAAGAAUCUGUGCCUUAGAGACUGUUAACAAAGCCCUCAUUGUUCAAAUGAGAAAUGGUCAUGAUGCUGACAUUUAGUGCUCUGGUACAUGUGGCUGGCCUUAUUGUAAGCACUUUACUUGAGGAUACUAUUAUGUCUUCAUGUUACUGAUAAGGCAAGUGAGGCACAGAGAGGUUAAAUUGACUUGCCCAAGGCCAUGUAGCUAGUCACUGGUGGAACCACAAUUUGAGGCCCUGAUGUUGGCUACAGUUUUCUGCCACUUCCAUGAAGUCUGGAAAGGGUCAGAAGGCCCAAAUGCCAUCUGGUUACUUCACCAGUUCUCUGUUAUCUAUCAAUCUCACAGUCACUAUGCAGGAGUCACUGAGGCCUCAAUUCUGCUUUGCAGUCUUCAUCCCAAAUUCUGCCACCCUGAAUGUUUUCAAGUAUGGCCUUACAAUUGGCCUUACAAGGCCUUGAUUUUUUUCAAAUCUGUGUGCACUUCCACUUCAACCACCCAUUCCUCUCUUGUGACCAUGCUCGAAACUCUAAUAAUCUGUCUUAUUGUAACUUCCUAUUUUUCAGUUUUCUUACUCUCUACCACUAAACCUUUUUUUUUUUUCUUUUAAUGUCCAGCGUCUUGCUGUGUCACCCAGGCUGGAGUGCAGUGGUGCGAUCAUGGUUCACUGCAACCUUGAACUCCUGGGCUCGAGCAAUCAUCUUUAUUUAUCAGUGGACACUGAGUAGCUGGGACUACAGGCGUGCACCACUGCACCCAGCUAAUUUUCUUAUUUUUUGUAGAGACAAGGGUCUCGCUUUGUUACCUAGGCCAGUCUUGAACUCCUGGCUUUAAGUGAUUCUUCCACCUCAGCCUCCCAAAGUGCUGGAAUUAAUAGGUAUGAGCCACCACGCCUGGCCUAAUCCUUGAUGUUUGCACUUGCUGUUAUGGUUUUUGUUUGUUUUUCUGAGACAGAGUCUUACUCUGUUGCCCAGGCUGGAGUGCAGUGGCCUGAUCUCAGCUCACUGCAACCUCCGCCUCCUGGGUUCAAGUGAUUCUCCUGCUUCAGCCUCCCGAGUAGCUGGGAAUACAGGCGCCUGCCACCACGCCCGGCUAAUUUUUAUGUUUUUAGUAGAGGCAGGGUUUCACCAUGUUGGCCAGGCUGGUCUUGAACUCCCCACCUCAAGUGAUCCAUCCGCCUCGGCCUCUCAAAAUGCUGGGAUUACAGGUGUAAGCCACCACGCCCAGCCGGUUUUUUCUUUUGUUUUUCCCUUUUUAACCCCAUUCUCUACCUUAUGCAACUGGUGCCCUGUGGUCAACUCAGACUUCUCAUUCAUGCCCUCAGCUCCUUAAACCCCUCAUCCUCAAACUCUACCAGCUUUGCAAGCUUCCAAGCCUGAAUUGCCUGACUCAGUUUAUCCCUGUGUGUAUCUGCUUGGGGUGUAGAAUAUAACAACUAAAAAUGAUAGAAGUGUACAGAUUGUGGCUGUUAUGAAUCUAGGGCAUUCAACUGCGGUUGGACCUCAGUGCCAUUGAGCAAUCUUUGUCUUUGGUCAGAACCCUCUUCUAUAAACAUUCACCACUUGGUUCCAACUGCUUACUCACCCACGUGCCUAAUAGAUAACCUCACCUCCUAAUUCACAGAGGGAGGAAAGUUCAAAAUGCAGGAACUUUCACUUCCCACUGUGAGCCUCCAAGGGAGUGUGUACAUCUGCAUCCUGCUGCCUCAUGCAUGGAGAUAGCCUUUCUGUUCAACCUGUCAUCUGUUAUGAUCCCACUUCAUCCCAUCAAUGGGAUCUUACUCCUUCAGCCACCCCCUUGGCACCUGUACUUUCAGCUGCUCAGCCUCUACUGGUCCGUUGCCCUCAGCCAAAAAACGCCCCUUCAACCCUGCACUCCUGGUUAUUACCCUAUUGUUUCUCUCUGUGGACAAUCUUCUUGAAAGAAUUGUCACUCCCCUUCCUCAGCUUAGAAACUGGUUUAUCUGAUUGCCUGACUUUUGGUGCUGUUGGUUACCCUCUCAUUUUCUGGGAUACCACUAUCAUCAUCUUCUCUUUCAUGUCUUUGCUGUUUUUGUAUCCCCUAUUGGAUUGAGCAAAGUCAUCAGCCUAGUCAAGUCACCCCCCAACAAGAUGAAACACAACAGUCAUCCUAGACUCCUUCCUCCCAUUUAUCUUCCAUAGCCAAUUGCCAAAUCCUGUGAUGUUUACCCAUUAAACAUCUGUCAAAUCAGUCCCUUUCUCUUUAUUCCCAUGGCCACCAAACCAUUCCAGGCUGCUAUCAUCUCUUCUCGAGAUGUGGAGUGAUCUUGGCUCCUCACUAUCAUACUCCCUUAUGUGGUCCUUUGUACUGACCUGAGCAAUAAUGAUGCUGAAGGCCCCACUGUUCGCUGCCAGCCCACAGAGAAGAAGUCUAUGCCAGAGAACGAGUGACCAGAAGAGGCUAUGCUCACAGAAGUCAGAGAAGCAGAGUCUUCAGGAAGGGAGAACAUCGGUGUCCACCAAGCAGAGAUACCUCAUGAGAUAGAUUGAAGUGUGGCCCCUGGAUUUCAGAAAUGGAUGUCAUCUGUCCAUGGAGGAGUAGGGUAAGAAGCUGCAUUGCAGUAGGCUGAAGGGUGUCCUUGGAAGCCUAGAAACUGACAGUAGCUAUAGAUGACUUCUAGAAGAUGAGCUGAAAUAAGAAUGUGAAACAAACUCAACCACUAGGAAUCAAAUCCAAAUUAAAAGGAGACACCAUUUCACCUCUUAAAUUGGCAGAAAAAUACUUUUAAUAAUACUUGAUAAUGAGGAUGUCAAGAAAGGAAUAUGACUUGUUACAAGCAUUCCAAAUGGGAUUUUAUGGUAGGUUUCAAGAGCAAUAGAUUUUUGCCCAUUCUUUGCCAUAGUAAUCCCAGCUCAACUCAGUCUAUUUAAGUAAUUACUGAUAGAUGCAAAGAUUUUAGACACAAGAAUGUUUAUCACAGUGUUCUUUUUAAUAUUUAAAAUUGAAAACCUAUAAAUUAUUGUCUAUCCAAACCAAAAGCAGCAACUAAAAAUGGGUAAUGAACUAGAAAUAUGAUGUGUUUUUAGUGAAAAAAGCAGGUUACAAAACAUUCUUUUCUAAAUUAUGUAUGUACAGCCUGAUGUCAUUAUUGUUUUUGUUUUUUUGAGACUGGGUCUUGCUCUGUCAUCCAGGCUGGAGUACAGUGGCAUGAUCAUGGCUCACUGCAGCCUCGACCUCCCAGGUUCAAGCGAUCCUCCCACCCUCACUCUCCUGAGUAGCUGAGCCUACAGGCAUGUACCACCAGGCCCAGCUAAUUUUAAGUUUUUUUUUUUUUUUUAGAGUUGAGGUCUUGCUAUGUUGCUCAUGCUGGUCUCAAAUUCCUGGCAUCAAAUGAUCCUCCCACCUCAGCCUCCCGAAGUGCUGGGAUUACAGGCGUGAGCCAUGGCACCUGUCCUCAUUUUUUAUUUUUAAUAAAACAUGUAAAGAUUGGAUGGCUAUCAGAGUCAAUAUGGUUAUGGGGGUAUAAUAUGGAUGAUGUAUUUUUUUUUAUGUUACCCAGGUUUGUUAUAUGGUAUAUAGCAUGAUGCUGAGGUUUGGGGUGUGAAUGAUUAUAUCACUCAGGCACUAAGCAUUGUACCCAGAAGGUAGGUUUUCAGCCCUUGACUCACUCCCUCUCUCUUCCAUCUAGUAGUCCCCAAUAAAUACAUAUUUAUUGAGUCUUCUGGGUCCACUGAGGACACAAUCAUGAAAAAGAAAACUAUGUCCCCAUCCUGGAGGUGUUUACAUUCUGGUGACAAAACUAAUUGAAGCAGUUCUGAUUGAUGUUUUGAGAGCUUAUGAUAAGAAGCUUGGCAGAGGCCGGGCAUGGUGGCUCACACCUGUAAUCCCAGCACUUUGGGAGGCUGAGGCAGGUGGAUCACUUGAGGUCAGGAGUUGAAGACCAGCCUGGCCAACAUGUGAAACCCUGUCUCUACUAAAAAUAACAAAAAUUAGCUGGGCGUCAUGGCACACUCCUGUAAUCCCAGCUACUUGGGAGGCUGAGGCAGGAGGGUCACUUGAGCCCAGGAGCUGGAGGUUGCAGUGAGCCAAGACUGUGCCACCACUCAACAGAGUGAGACUCCGUCUCAAAAAAAAAAAAAAAAAAAAAAAAAAAAAAAGCUUGUCAGAGAAAUAAAUGAGAAAUUAAAAGAUGGUAAGUGGAGGCCCCAGAGUGAAGGGAAGUGUUUUUGGUUUUAGGAAUAGGAGAGUCUAGUGUGUUUAGAGGUUUAGGGGAAGGAUCCAGGAGAGGCAGCAGAGAACUGAAGGGUGUAUGUGUGUGUGGAGCAGGGAGGUGGGGGUGGUGAGGGUGGGAGAUGGAGGGGAGAAGGAGCCCAGAUAAAUUUAGCUUCCACCAGGAGCAGGAUGCCUCUUCCUCUGCUGGUGCUAUAGGAAGGUUGCCAAUGGGCCGGGUGCGGUGGCUCAUGCCUGUAAUCCUAGCACUUUGAGAGCCCAAGGUAGGUGUAUCACGAGGUCAGGAGUUCAAGACCAGCCUGGCCAGUAUGGUGAAACCCUGUCUCUACUAAGAAAAUACAAAAAUUGGCCAGUGACGGUGGCUCGCACCUGUAAUCCCAGCACUUUGGGAGGCCGAGGCGCGUAGAUCAGGAGGUCAGGAGGUCAGGAUUUCAAGACCAGCCUGGCCAAGAUGGUGAAACCCCAUCUCUACUAAAAAUACAAAAAUUAGCUGGGCAUGGUGGCUCGCGCCUGUAGUCCCAUCUACUCAGGAGGCUGAGGCAGGAGAAUCGCUUGAACCCGGGAGGUGGAGGUUGCAGUGAGCCGAGAUCGUGCCACUGCACUCCAGCCUGAGAGACAGAGUGAGACUCUGUCAAAAAAGAAAAAUUGCCAGUGGAGAUAAAGGUGUCCAUUUGGGUAGGUCAGGAAGCUGUGGUAUUCAUGCCUCAUGGCCUUCAUUUUCUUAGAGCGUAGGGUAAAAUCAUGCCAUUUUUUGCCUCUGUGCCUCAUAAGUUUGUACUCCUUCCUCCUUUAAAAAUCAGCUGUAAGAGCUGGAUGUGCUGUAAGGGCUGGACGUGGUGGCACAUGCCUGUAGUUCCUACUUGGGAAGCUGAGAUGGGAGGACCACUUGAGUCCGGGAGGUUGAGGCUGCAGUGAGCUAUGAUUGCACCACUGCUCUCCAGCCUGGGUGACAGAGCAACACCUUGUCUCUUGGGAAAAAAAAAAAAAAAAAAAAUCAGCUCCAGACCCCUGCCUUUGUGAACCUUUUCUUGAAGGAAAGAGUGUGGGUUGGGGCCACUUCCAGUGGAAUCACCAGGAGGGGAGUGGAGGGAGGAGGGAAGGUGCUCAGAAUAAACAUUCAAUGUCCCUGAGCAUUCCUAGAUCAACCGGAUCAGGAUCUCUGAAGGAUGGGGCUCAAAGAUUGGCAUUUGAAAGAACACCCGUGGGGAUCCUGAUGGUGCAAUAAAGUUGUAGAACCACCUCACUAAGUGCUCCCAAUUCCUUUUACAAUUCUCUAUUAUUGCAAUUUAAUCCUUUCACUUCCCCCACUGGGCUGCCCUUGGGCAGGAGUAGGUGUCUUUGUUUACAUACUUGUAGCACAGCCCUGCAGUUGGCUAUCAUAGUGGGCUUUGGGUGCUUAUUUGUGAAAUGAAUGAUGUGUACAAAACUGGAACCCAGAUGUCCUGAUUCCCAGACUCAUAAUUUGCUCUAUCACAUUUUAUCUCUAGAAGCUGCUGAAUUCCUCAGGAAGGCAUUUCCUGGUCCAACUGUGCCUAAAACUCAUAUGCCAAUUUAAAAAGCACAAAUCCACAUAGAAAGAUUCUCUGAAGAAGGAGACAGUGUAUGGGGGAUUGGUUGCUCUAAGGAAGAUUAGAAAAUGAGGUCACCUGAAAGUGAAGGGAGCGGGAUGCACACAAAGUAACAAGCCCCUGGAGCAGGUCUGUUCCAAGUGUGUCACCCAGGUCUCCCCCAAAAACCAUCAAGGAGUUAGAAACAUACUGUGGAAAAGAUCCCUAGAAUGUAACAGUUAAGAAGCUGGAUGCUCAGGAGGUAAUGAGUCAUAGAAUGCUUGUGUGUGGACUGCAUGGAAUCCAGAAAAGGGGAAGCCAUAGGUUAGAAAUUAUAGCGUCUCAGCUGGGCACGGUGGCUCACGCCUGUAAUCCUAGCUCUUUGGGAGGCUGAGGUGGGUGGAUCACCUGAGGUCAGGAGUUCGAGACCAGCCUAGCCAACAUGGCUUCACCGUCUCUACUGAAAAUACAAAAAUUAGCCAGCGUGGUGGCGGACGCCUAUAAUCCCAGCUAUUCAGGAGACUGAGGCAGGAGAAUCGCCUGAACCCGGUGGGGUGGAGGUUGCAGUGAGCCAAGAUCGCGCCACUUCAUUCCAGCCUGGGUGAAAAAGCAAAACUCUUGUCUCAAAAAAAAAAAAAAAAAAGAAGAAGCAAUUAGAAUUUAUAGAGUUGUUGUAAUAUCCAAAGGUAUAGAUGCUCUGAUACCACUGGGUAGUGCUGUUAAUUUAGAAAGAACUGGUCCAAAAGAAUGCGAAUUCAUCUUAGGAGAAAUGGGUGUUUCCACUAAGAACAGCUCAUCCCUUUUCUUUAAUCAUUUAGUAACUCUUUAUAGAUUACCUCCAAUGUGUCAGGGGCUGUAUUCACUGUGUCUUGCCGGAGAUAUGACAGUGGGCAAAACAGGUACAGGACGUACCCUUGAGAACUCACAGUAUUAUUCUUGUUUAUUCAUCAGGUUUCUAACCUGUAAUUUGAUAUGCUUUGUGGAUUUGCCUGGCACUCUGAGCAAAUGACCAAAACCAAUUAUUCUGCCAGGUAGGCCUCUGUUCUCACGUUAAUAACAUUCUAGUUGUGAGUCAUUUAUGACUUCGAUGAGAGAGUAUAAAACAAACAGUUCCAUUAGGGGUUGGUUUUUCCCUGGACAAAUGGGUACAGAGCUGGGCCUGCUGAUGAGCUCAGCAAGAAGUCCCCACCCUGGGAAGCCCUGCCAACUGCCAGCACCUUGUAUUCAGCAGGCUCUCAGCCACACACAGGCUAAGUCACAGCCCCUGGCCCCAUUAGGAAUGUGUGUAUCCUUUCCUGCCUGAAUGGCCCACUGAGAGGUCGUUGGGAAAAUUCUUGGAGCGUCGGAUUCCUGGAUGUCUUGAAUUCCAAAGAGCUUGAAUCAGCACAAAGCUUAGGGCCCAGGGCUGUAUUUUAAAGGAAGACGCAGCAGGGGCAGGUGAUGGUAAAUAGAGGAGAGUGAACAUGGCGGGAACAGACUUCAGGCUGCACCUGUGACUGAGGACAGCCCCCAAAUUCUUAGUUCUGAGAGAAACCCCUGAGGGCCAAAAACAGCAUGCUCAGUUCCUGGUAAUUCCUUAAAAACAGGCUUCUAUCAGACCUGGCUCUAAAAAAACAUUCACUCAGGCUGGAUCCAGGUUUGGGGCCCUGAGGCUUAUAUAUUUGGUACAGGCAACUCUUAAGAAAGAAGUGCAAAAUUAGAUAUAGGGCUUGGAAGCCCUGUUUGAGGAAGCCAGGGACCCUGAAGUGUAAGCUUCAGUAGUUUCACAGUAAAUCCACCUAUGUGUUCAUGCUGGAGAGUAAAAAUAUCCCAUGUCUGUGAUCCCAAAGGAUCAGAGGGCUCUCUGGAUGCUUAGAGGAAGGAAGGAAGCAGGGAUGAGAGCAACUUCAAUGUUUUAAUUCAUUGAUCUUAUUAAUAAAUCACAUUCCCAGCCGGGCGCGGUGGCUCAUGCCUGUAAUCCCAACACUUUGGGAGGCCGAGGCGGGCGGAUCACAAGGUCAGGAGAUCGAGACCAUCCCGGCUAACAUGCUGAAACCCCGUCUCUACUAAAAAUACAAAAAAAAAAAAAAAAAAAAAAUUAGCCGGGCGGGGUGGUGGGUGCCUGUAGUCCCAGCUACUGGCUGAGCCUGGAGAUUGGCAUGAACCCAGGAGGCGGAGCUCGCAGUGAGCCAUGAUCGCGCCACUGCACUCCAGCCUGGGCGACAGAGCGAGACUCCGUCUCAAAAAAUAAAAAUAAAAAAUAAAUCACAUUCCCUUUUCUUCAUCCCUUACAUUCAGUUAAAGGUUUAAAUGCUAGACUUGGCCAGGCAUGGUGACACACGCCUGUAAUCCCAGCACUUUGGGAAGCCAAGGCGGGUGGAUCACUUGAGCCAGGACUUCGAGACCAGCCUGGGCAACAUGGCGAAACCCCAUCUCUACAAAAAAAAAAAUACAAAAAAAUUAACCUGGUGUGGUGCUGCAUGUCUGUAGUCGCAGCUACUUGGUAGGCUAAGGCGGGAGGACCACUUGAGCCCAGGAGGUCGAGGCUGCAGUGAGCCAUGAUUGUGUCACCGCACAACAGCCUGGAUGACAGAGCAAGACCCUGUCUCAAAAAAAAAAAAGUAGAUUCUGAGCUACUCGAGGACAGCAAUCAUAUCUUAUUUGUCUUUGAAUCCCAAGUACUUUGCAAAUAGCAUUUGUUGAAUGGAUGAAUGAAUGAGUGAGUGAGUGAGUGAGUGAGUGAGUGAGUGAGUGAGUGAAUUCUCCCAGGAACUGAGACCUGAUAGUCAUAUAUUCCCCUCUCCCUUCCUCUUGACUGCUCCGGCAGGUGGCAUAGACUAAUCAUGAACUCUGGAGUAAGACCUGAGUUGAAUCCCAGCUUUGCCACAUACCAUCAGGGUGACCCUGGGAAAGUUACCCAACAUCUCUCAGCCUCAGUUUCUUUAGAAGGGAGCCAAUAAUACUUCCCCUCAAGGUUGCAGUGAGAAUCAGUAAUAAAGUGCCUGGUAUGUCACAGUUCUCAACAAAUGUUGACUAUUGUAUUAUUACUUUAGGUCUGGGGUAGGCAAACCAGGCCAUGGGCCAAAUCUGGCCCCCCGCCACCAUUUUUGUAAAUAAAGUUUUAUUGGAACACAGGGAACACAGUCAUGCCUAUUUGUUACUUUUUUUUUUUUUUAAACAGAGUCUCUGUCAUCCAGGCUGGAUUGCAGGGGUGCCGUCUCAGCUUACUGCAACCUCCACCUCCCGGGUUCAAGCAAUUCUUCUGCCUCAGCCUCCUGAGUAGCUGGGAUUAUAGGCAUGCACCACCAGGCCUAGCUAAUUUUUCUUUUUUUUUUUUUUUUCUUUUUUUGCAAUGGAGUUUCGCUCUUGUUGCCCAGGCUGGAGUGCAAUGGCACGAUCUCGGCUCACCACAACCUCUGCCUCCUGGGUUCAAGCAAUUCUUCUGCCUCAGCCUCCUGAGUAGCUGGAACUACAAGCGCAUGCCACCAUGCCCAGCUUAUUUUGGUAUUUUUAGUAGAGACAGGGUUUCACCAUAUUGUCCAGGCUGGUCUCAAACUCCUGACCUCAGGUGAUCUGCCCACCUCAGCCUCCCAAAGUGCUGGGAUUACAGGUGUGAGCCACCGCGCCCAGCCCUAAUUUUGUAUUUUUAGUAGAGACUGGGUUUCUCCAUGUUGGUCAGGCUGGUCUCGAACUCCUGACCUCCGGUGAUCCACUCGCCUUGGCCUCCCAAAGUGCUGGGAUUACAGGUGUGAGCCACCUCACCCAGCCUGUUACUUCUUAUCCAUGGCUACUUUUGUGCUACAAUAGCAUAGUUAAAAAAUUGAUACAGAGACCUUAUGGCAUGCAAAGACUAAAAUAUUUACCACAGAAAAAGUUUGUCAACCACAUACCAUCAGGGUGACCCUGGGAGAGUUACCCAACAUCUUUCUGGCCCUACAGAAAAAGUUUGUCAACUUCUGAUUUAGGCCUUUAUCACUUUACUCUCAACUUGUAGUUGUCUCCUAACUGGUCCCCAAGCCUCUCGUCUUUCUCCCAUUCUGUUCUUUCUCUACUCUGUGGCCAGUUGUUUCUUUUCUUUUCUUUUUUUUUUUUGAGACAGAGUCUCGCUGUGUCGCCCACACUGGAGUUCAGUGGCCCAAUCUUGAUUCACCGCAAGCUCUGCCUCCCAGGUUCAAGCAAUUCUCAUGCCUCAGCCUCCCGAGUAGCUGGGAUUACAGAUGGGUGCCACCACACCCAGCUAAUUUUUGUAUUUUUAGUAGAGACAGGGUUUCACCAUGUUGGCCAGGCUGGUCUAGAACUCCUGACCUCAGAAUGAUCCUCCAGACUCAGCCUCCCAAAGUGCUAGGAUUACAGGUGUCAACCACCAUGCCCUGCCCUUCUUUUUCUUGUUUUUUUUUAGAUGUGGUGUCUCUAAAAAGCCAUUGCGGCCAAACUUUUUUGUUUUUUUUGUGUUGUGUUUUUUGAAAUAGUGUCUCUUUCUGUCACCCAGGCUGGAGUGCAGUGGCAUGAUCAUGGCUCACUGCAGCCCCAGACUCCUGGGCUCAAACAAUCCUCCCACCUCAGCCACAGGAAUAGUUGGGACUACAGGCACACAUCACCACACCCAGCUGAUUACUUUUUUUUUUUUUUUUGAGACGGGGUCUUGCUCUAUCGGCUAGGCUAGAGUGCAGUGGCGUGAUCUUGGCUCACUACAACCUCCACCUCCUGGGUUCAAGCAAUUUCUCUGCCUCAGCCUCCCAAGUAGCUGGGACUACAGAUGCCUGCCACCAUGCCUGGCUAAUUUUUGUAUUUUUAGCAGAGAUGGGGUUUCACCAUAUUGUCCAGGCUGGUCUUGAACUCCUGACCUUGUGAUCCACCCGCCUCGGCCUCCCAAAGUGCUGGGAUUACAGGCGUCAGCCACUGCGCCUGGCCCCAAUUUUUUUUUUUUUUUUGUAGAGACGAAGUCUCACUAUGUUGCCGAGGCUGAUCUUGAACUCCUGGGCUCCAGCAAUCUGCCUGCCUUGGCCUUCCGAAGUGCUGGGAUUGCAAGCAUGAGCCACUGUGUCCAACCCAGAUGGACACUUUGGAUAGAGUCUACUAGGCUUGCCUUUAGCUUUCUGCUGUCCUGUCGUCUCAUCGCAUCCUGUUAUGUAGUCCAUAGCUCACUUCAUUCCAGGGGGCAGGUUGAAAGCAGACUCAGCUGUUUGUCCUGGGCUGAUCCCUGAGUUCAUGUUGCUGUUUCCCAUAACUUCGCUUUAUAAUCUGGCACCAGGGAGCCAGUGGCCAGGGACAGUCAGUGAGCUUACAUGUUUUCUUGGAAAUCAUCACCCAUCCCUGGGCUUGGCCUUUAGUUUUCGUCUUGCGGUCCUGUCUUGCUGUCUUCAUUGCUUGCCCUGUAGAUUGGAUUUUUGACUCUGAGUACCUGGAGCAUUUGAUCCUGCCUUUGUUCUCCUAGGCACUGAUCCAUCAGAACUCAGGGAAAACACAGGCUUAGAAAUCAACACUGGCAUCAUCCCUGCACUGCAUGGCCAGAUCUGUGCCUCACUCCACAUAUCUUGGCCCCAGUAUGAUUUCAUGUACAUUCCCAAGAACUUUUGAUGUAGACCUGGAUUAUAGCUACUAUGUUUUAUUGGGAUUCGGUGUUGUAGCAUGGGGUGUUGACAUUGUCCCUUUUUGGGAACCCACCCCCAACUCCAAUUUCUUUACCAAUCCCAGUCUGCAACCUAAUUCCUGAUUUUGAGCUUCAACUUGUUCUUCUGUUUUUGGAUACUGUCCCAGACUAUUUUCUAUCAGUGUUCUGAGUUUUCUUGAGUUUUUUGAACCGAGUACCUGUGCUCUCUCUCUCUGCACCACUGCUGCCACCAUCCUAGUGCUGAGGCCAACUCUCAGAACUCAAAUGGGCAGACAUCAGGGAUCACGGGUCCAGAAGUAUAAAUAGUGGCUCAUCUCACACAAUAGAGUUCAUUCACUCAUGGAAAGCACUUAGCGUAGUAUCUGGCCCAGAGUAAGUCUAUAUAAGCAUUACUGAUAAUUAGGAUGUGCCAAAAUGAAGCACAUACUCUCUCUUAUACAGGGAGAUCUUUGGGGUAAAAAAUGAAGGCAAAUCACCAAGGAAUGUGGUUCAUUGGCAUAAUAAUAUGUAAUUUUUUUUUUUUUUUGAGACGGAGUUUCGCUCUUGUUGCCCAGGCUGGAGUGCAGUGGCACAAUCUUGGCUCUCCGCCUCCCGGGUUCAAGCAAUUCUCUUGCCUCGGCCUCCCAAGUAGUUAGGAUUACAGGCAUGUGCCACCACACCUGGCUAAUAAUAUGUAGCUUUUUAAAAAUUAUUAUUAUUAUUUUUUUUAAGACGGUCUCACUUUGUCACCCGGGCUGGAGUGCAAGUGGCUCAAUCACAGCUCACUGCAGCCUUGACCUCCUGGGCUCAAGCAAGCCUUCCACCUCAGCCUCCUGAGUAGUUGGAACUACAGGCGAGUGCCACCACAUCCGGCUAAUUUAAAAAAUUUUUUUGUAGAGGUGACGUCUUGCUAUGUUACUCAGGCUGGUCUCAGACUCCUGGGCUCAAGCAGUCCUCCUGCCUUGGCCUCCCAAAGUACUGGGAUUACAGGCACGAGCCACUGUUCCCAGCCUAAUCUGUAGUUUUUAAAGAAAUGUUAUUCACAUACUAUAAAAUUCACACUCUUCUAAAGGUUUUUAGUAUAUUAACAAAGUUAUGUAACCAUCCCCGCUAUCUAAUUCUAGAACAUUUUCAUCAGCCUAUACCCAUUCGCAGUCAUUUCCCGUUUCUCCCACCCUCGGUCUCAGGCUGCCAUGAAUCUACUUUCAGUGUCCAUGGAUUUGCCUAUUCUGGACAUUCCAUGAAAACGGAAUCAUAUAUACUAUGUGGCCUUUUGUUUCUGGGUUUUUUUUUUUUUUUUUUGAGAUGGAGUCUCGCUCUGUCGCGCAGGCUGGAGUGCAGUGGUACGAUCUUGGCUCACUGCAACCUCUGCCUCCCGGGUUCAAACGAUUCUCCUGCUUCAUCCUCCUGAGUAGCUGGGAUAACAGGCACACACCACCAUGACUGGCUAAUUUGUGUACUUUUUUAAAAUAGAGAUGGGGUUUCACCAUGUUGGCCAGGCUGGUCUCGAACUCCUGACCUCAGGUGAUCUGCCCGCCUUGGCCUCCCAAAGUGCUGGGAUUACAGGCAUGAGCCACUGCGCCAGGCCUUGUGUCUGUUCUUUCACUUAGCACAACGUCCUUAAGGUUCAUCCAUGUUGGAGCAUGUCUCAGUACAUCUCAUGGCUGCAUAAUAUAGCCUAUUGUAUGGAUAUACCACAUUGUGUUCAGCCAUUCAUCAGUUGAUGAGCAUUUGUGUUGUUUCUACUUUUGGCUAUUGUGAAUAGUGCUGCUAUGAACAUUUGUGUACCAGUUUUAUGUGGACACUUGUUUUCAUUUCUCUUGGGUGUAUACCUAGGAGUGGAAUUGCUGGGGUAUAUGGUACCUCUGUUUAACUUUUUGAGAAAUUGCCAAAUUGUUUUCCACAGCAGCUGCACUGUUUUACAUUCCUACCUUCAGUGGAUGAGGGCUUCAAUUUCUACACACAUCCUUAUUGACACUUGUUAUGGUCCCUCUUUUUAUUAUAUCCAUUCUAGUGGAUAUGGAGUAGUAUCUCGUGGUUGUGAUUUGCACUUCUCUAAUAACUAAUAAUGUUGAGCAUCUUUUCUUUUCUUUCUUUCUUUUUCUUUUUUCUUUUUUGAGAUGGAGUCUCGCUCUGUUGCCCAGGCUGGAGUGCAGUGGCACAGUCUCAGGUCACUGCAACCUCCAACUCCUGAGUUAAAGCGAUUCUUUUGCCUCAGCCUCCCGAGUAGCUGGAAUUACAGGUGCCUGCCACCAUGCCUGGCUAAUUUUUUUGUAUUUUUAGUAGAGACAGGGUUUUGCCAUGUUGGCCACGCUGGUCUUGAACUCCUGACCUCAGGUGAUCUGCCCGCCUCGGCCUCCAAAGUGCUGGGAUUGUAGGCAAGAGCCAUCACGCCCAGUUGAGCAUCUUUUCUUGUGCUUAUUGGCCACUUGUAUAUCUUCUUGGGAAAAAUAUCUAUAGCAAUAUAUAACUUUACACACAAAUAUCCAUCUUUUCUAGUACAGUCUGAGACUGUGCAGGAGGUCUGACAAUUGCUUCUUCAGUUACCAUCAGUGGUUAGAGUGGAGGGGACAUAUCCCGAGACAUGCUUGGAGGAGAAGGAAACUGUGUUGGUUGAUAUUUUUCCUCAAAGUUGCUUCUCUUGACUGUCAGGUGGCAUAUGACUGUGGGGAUUAAAUUGAGUACUGAAUAUGGGCAGUGUGAUAUUCAGCAGCUCACACUGGUUCAGUGAUAUCAAUUAUUUAAGUCCUGCAUCUGGCCGAGUGCAGUGGCUCAUGCCUGUAAUCCCAGCAUUACGGAGGCCGAGGUGGGAGAAUCACUUGAGUCUGGGAGGUCGAGGCUGUAGUGAGCCAUGAUUGCACCACUAUACUCCCGCCUGUGUAAAAGAGCAAGUCUGUGUCUCAAAAAAAAAAAAAAAAAGGAAGAAAGAAAGGAAGAGAAGGAGGAAGGGAAAGGAAGGGAGGGAGGGAGGAAGGAAGGAAGAAAGGGCCGGGCGCGGUGGCUCACGCCUGUAAUCCCAGCACUUUGGGAGGCCGAGACGGGCGGAUCACGAGGUCAGGAGAUCGAGACCAUCCUGGCUAACACGGUGAAACCCUGUCUCUACUAAAAAUACAAAAAUUAGCCGGGCAUGGUGGCGCGUGCCUAUAGUCCCAGCUACACGGGAGGCUGAGGCAGGAGAAUGGCGUGAACCCGGGAGGCGGAGCUUGCAGUGAGUCGAGAUCGCGCCACUGCACUCCAGCCUGGGCGACAGAGCGAAACUCCGUCUCAAAAAGAAAAAAAAAAAAAAAAAAAAAAGGAAGAAAGGAAGGAAGGAAAGAAGGAAAGAAAGAAAAACACAAAAGUUCUUCAUCUGUUCUGAUUGGCUGAUGUCUGAGCCAUAAUCCUUAUUGAACAUUUGGAAUACCAUGCCUGCCUAUACAAUAUCAAGCACUUGUGCCUGGCAAAUGCUUGGUAAUUGCUACUUUCCUUUCUUUCUUUCUUUCCUUCUUUCCUUCCUUCCUUUCUUUCCCUUCCCUUUCCUUCCCCCUCCCUCCCUCCUUUCCUUCCUGCCUCCCUCCCUUCCUCCCUUCCUUCCUCUCUCUCUUUCUCUCUCUCUUUUCUUUUUUUUUCUUUUCUGAAACGGAGUUUUGCUCUUAUUGCCCAGGCUGGAGUGCAAUGGCACGAUCUCGGCUCACUGCAACCUCUGCCUUCCGGGUUCAAGCGAUUCUCCUGCCUCAGCCUCCUGAGUAGCUGGGAUUACAGGCGCCCGCCACCAUCUAAUUUUCUGUAUUUUAAAUAGAGACAGGGUUUCACUAUGUUGGUCAGGCUGGUCUCAAACUCCUGACCUCAGGCGAUCCACCUGCCUCAGCCUCCCAAACUGCUGGGAUUACAGGUGUGAGCCACCACGUCCGGCCUCUCUCUUUCUUUUCUUUUUUUCGACAGGGUCUCACUCUGUUGCCCAGGCUGGAGCACAGAGGUAUGAUCAUGGCUCAUUGCAGCCUUGAACUGCUGGACUCAAGCAAUCCUCCUGCCUCAGCUUCCCGAGUAGCCGGGAUUACUUACAAGCAUGUGCCACUGUGCCCAGCUAAUGUUUAAAAUGAUAUCUUUCCCUUUACUUUUGGGCUCCUUUAUGUCACUCCAUCACUGACAGUAGGCCAUCCACGGCUCGUAUCUAUGUUUCACUGUUCUGCAUCCCUGAAUUUUCACCUCAUCCUGGAUCCUGAAGCCUGCUUUGAUGCUCUUUGGUGAGUGUUCUGGUUCUUUAUUAUGAAAAUGAGAUUUUUCUGUACAGCCCUUUGCCUUGGCAACUUUGGCAAUUGCUCCUAUUUCCAAAGUUGCCCCUGGAGCCACAAUGUCUAUUAAUGUGAGGGUCCACUCUUAAAGGAAACAUUUCUGUACGGAUACAUUGGGUUCACACUUACUAAUGUUCUCACUCACUGAUAGCCGUGGUGGCCAUCAACUGAUGUAAAUGUUUUUUUUUCUUUUUUUUUUUUUUUGAGACAGAGUCUCGCACUGUCACCCAGGCUGGAGUGCAGUGGCGUGAUCUCGGCUCACUGCAACCUCUGCCUCCCAGGUUCAAGCGAUUCUCCUGCCUCAGCCACCCGAGUAGCUUGGAUUACAGGCGCGCACCACCAGGGCCAGCUAAUUUUUGUAUUUUUAGUAGAGAUGGGGUUUCACAAUGUUGGCCAGGAUGGUCUUGAUCUCUUGACCUCGUGAUCUGCCCGCCUCAGCUUCCCAAAGUGCUGGGAUUACAGGCGUGAGCCACCGGCGCCCAACCAACUUAUGUAAAUGUUGAAAACGAAAGUGUUAAUUUUGAGAUUGUUUGCUAAUGCUGAACAAAUGGAAACAAUUUAAAUGUUAUUAACAGGGACUGGCUAAAUAAAGCAUGAUACAGCCAUAUAUUGCACAGGUUGGCAUACUUUUUCUGUAACGAGCUAGAUAGUAAACUCUCCGGGCAUUGUAGGCCACAGUCUCUGAUGCAACCUUUCAAUUCUGCUACUAUAGUGCAAAAGCAGGCUGAGACUCUAUGGAAAGGAAUAGGCAUGGCUAUGUUCCCAUACAACUUCUUUUAGGUGCUGGGCCAUAUUUGGUCUAGAGGCCAUACUUUGCUGACCCUAAUAUAAUAAGUCUUACUAUGUGACCAUUAAAAAGAACCAAAUAGAAUUAUAUGUACUGACAAAGAUAUCCAUCAAGUUGUUUUUUUGUUUUGUUUUGUUGAGAUGGAGUCUCGCUCUUGUUGCCCAGGCUGGAGUGCAAUGGCGUGAUCUCAGCUCACUGCAACCUCCGCCUCCCAGGUUCAAGUGAUUUUCCAGACAGCCUCCUGAGUAGCUGGGAUUACAGGCGUGCGCCACUAC
rnacentral:lncRNA from 1 species